GGUGUUCAGGUCGUUCCGCAGAGACACUGCUCCACCCUAAGUCCAGCAAUGAGUACGGUGGUAUGGACAUGGCCCAUAGAGGGUGAAAGGCCCGUAGGGGUGGAGGUUCGGCAUGUCAGUGUCUCUCUGGGUAGACCUUGGAGUCGGGUUGUUUGUGAAUGCAGCCCAAAGUGGGUGGUAAACUCCAUCCAAGGCUAAAUACUUGCACGAGUCCGAUAGCGAACAAGUACCGUGAGGGAA
rnacentral:rRNA from 1 species